rnacentral:misc_RNA from 1 species
GAUGAAGAACGCAGCGAAAUGCGAUACUUGGCGUGAAUUGCAGAAUCCCGUGAACCAUCGAGUCUUUGAACGCAAGUUGCGCCUCAAGCCAUUAGGUUGAGGGCACGUCUGCCUGGGCGUCACAUAUCGUUGCCUGAUGCCAGUUUCCUCGUGAUGGGUGACUGUGCAGGGCGAAUGAUGGCUUCCCGUGAGCAUUGUUGCCUCAUGGUUGGUUGAAAAUUGAGUCCUUGGUAGGGAGCGCCGUGAUAGAUGGUGGUUGAGUGACGAACGAGACCCAAUCAUGUGAGACCCCUACCGAAUUUGGCCUUCAUGACCCACAUGCGUCUUUGGAACGCUCAUGACGAGACCUCAGGUCAGGCGGGGCUACCCGCUGAGUUUAAGCAUAUCAAUAAGCGGAGGA